UACAGAGGGUGCGAGCGUUGUCCGGAAUCACUGGGCGUAAAGGGCGCGUAGGCGGUCUGGUAAGCGUGUGGUGAAAGCUCGGGGCUCAACCCCGGAACGGCACCCGAGACUGGGCGGCUCGAGACCGGGAGAGGUGGGUGGAAUACCCAGUGUAGAGGUGAAAUUCGUAGAUAUUGGGUGGAACACCGGUGGCGAAAGCGGCUCACUGGCCCGGUUCUGACGCUGAGGCGCGAAAGCGUGGGGAGCAAACAGG
rnacentral:rRNA from 1 species